rnacentral:lncRNA from 1 species
GUUGAUUAUUUUACCAAAGGUGAUUAUAAUCUAAGUGAGGAGGAAUUGAAAGCUGGUAAAGCAAAGGUUGAAGGACUUGUAAAGCUUGUUGAAGGUUACCUUUUGGCAAAUCCUGAUUACUGAAUAUGUUUAAUUAGGGUUAAUAAGAACUUGGCUAUAUGGUGCAAAUUAAUAACAGCCAGAUCAAGGUUGGGUUGUAAGAUGAAAGCCUAAGUAUGAGUUAUGAGAAUGAUUUUGUAUUUGAAGAAAAUUGAUGUGUUGCAAUUCGAGUGUUAAGAUGUAAGAUGAACACAAGUUGAUUAAAGAUGUUUGAACCUUACAUUUUUUUUUUUUUUUAAUAUAAGAUGAAAUAUUUGGUAAUUGACUGAGUGAGUGAUGGACCAAAGAUUGGAAGGGAUGUAUUUUAUUUAAUUAGGAUUUAUAAGAACUUGGCUAUAUGGUGCAAAUUAAUAAAGGUUCGGUUAUAAGAUGAAGCCUCAAGGAAAACAAAUACUUACUACUGGCUAGUGUCAUAACUAGUGUCAUCAAGUAAUGUAUGACUAAUUCUUAAUGAAUUAAAAGGUAAAAGGUGAAUUUUCUGACUUAGAUAACAUAUUCUGCAAACUUAUUCAAACAUCGGUGUCAUUUAUGAAAGAAUAUGUUGAAAUAGAUGUGUUUGCUGUUUGACUAAGAUUGAUUUUGAGGUAAAAAUUAUUAUAUUUUAUCAAAUUAAACAAAGUUAGAAUUGGAUCGAUUCAUUAAAGGUUUAUCGAUAUAUAAUUAUAUAUUUAUUGGUCUAGAGGUCAAGACAUACUCAAAUAUUAAACAUACAGAGGAAGGUGAAUUUGGUGACCUUGCUUAGAACCCAGAAUUCCACAUAAAAUAUUCACACAAUUAAACCACUAAGCUGUUGGAAAGGAAAAAGAAAAAAAAACUAAACCACUAGGCUAUAAUUAAAUAACACCGUCUUAUGUAGGUAGAGAUUUUGAAUAAAUAUGUUUUGCAAUCUAUCGUGUCUUAUGUGAUGUGCAUUUUUCUUAGUCUAACUCACUUAUUGAUGAGAUUGAGAAAAUUUGAAUUCAUUUUGAUAAGUGAUAGCGAGAGUGAUUCUAGAGGCAUGCACCGGCUAUGAAGUUCAUCAAAAAUUCAAGUAAUUGAAUCCUAAAUAUGAUUUUUUAUUUUUUUUUAUUUUAUUAAAGCAUUGGUCACAACUCAAGCUAUGUUUGACGUACCAUAUUUAAAUCAGUUGUGCACGGAGGUUUCAAGUGGAGUAUUUGGAUGGGAGAAAACAAAGUUAUCAUUAGAGUAAUUUGAGAGAGAGAGAGAGAGAGAGAGAGAGAGAGAGAGAGAGAGAGAGAGAGAGAGAGAGAGAGAGAGUUGUGUGCAAAGGGUACAUGAAAACUCAACAAAAUUAGGGGAAGGUCAAAUGCGGGUUGUCACGUACAUCUAAAACCGAUCAUAAACACACGCACACAUGAGUCUAGUUUUUUUUUUUUGGACAUAAACCAAGCUUUUGCAUUAAACAGUGGGCAAAUCAUUACAAUACACUGAUAAACACCUAUCUGAAAUACAUCCAUUCCAACUCUUACAACCUACAACUUUUGAUAAUUGAGCAAGGCUGUGAGCCACUUUGUUGCAAUCUCUGCUAAUGCUACAAACAGACACAUUAGCUAACUUAGACAUGUAUUCUAAACAAUCUAAAAUUAGAGGUUCAAUUUCAGCCAACACAAAAUCACCAUACAGUCUUUUCACCACCGUUUCGGCAUCUGUUUCAAUAAUGACAUUUGAGAACUGUUUUUCAAGUACCCACGCGAGGCACCAUCUCACCCCCAAACACUUAGCCAGCAGCGGUGAAUAGGAAAUACCAUCAGAUUUGGUUUCAGCAGAUAGAGCCAAUCCUGCAGCAUUGCGAGCAAUGAAGCCCCACCCUGUACUCCCGUCUCCGAAACACCCUGCAUCAACAUUAACCUUAAUUGAACCAAAAGGGGGAGGUUGCCAUCUAGGGACAACGUGCACCUGACCCCUUUUAAGAGGCAGAUUUGCAAUCGAAAAUUCCUCCACAAGCGCAGACACCUUCUGAGACACUAGUAGCGGAUCAAAAUCAACAUUAUUGAAAACUUUUUGAUUCCUAUGCUUCCAAAUUAGCCACAGGGAGGUGCCAAACAGUUGUUUCACACGCUGCUCUGGGACAGCCAAACACUUCUCCAUCCAGCUCAAUAAAUCUAACUGCACCGGAACAUGUAUCGCAAGAGGAGAUGCAAACCAAACUGCUAUAGCAGCGGGGCAGCGCAUGAAUAAGUGGUCCCUGUUCUCAAUUUCAACAUGACAGAGAGGGCAAUUCAUAUCAAGACUUAUGCCUUUCUUACCCAAAUUGCUCCUGGUAGGCAGAAUGUCCUUCGCAAGACACCAUAAGAAAUUCUGCACACUCCUCGGAGCCGGAGUAUUCCAGAUUUGCUUCCAUAUCACAGGGUUGUUUGCAGAAGAGGACUCAACUUGGUUAGAGAAAUUUUCAUUGCAUAGGGAAUGAUGAGCAGAUCUGACAGAGUAAAUCCCAUCCUUCUCCCAAUGCCAAAUGAUUUUAUCCGCUGGCUGUCUCAUGGAUAAGGGAAUUUUGAUGAUUUGACGCGCCGCGUAAUUGUUGAAACUACGGAAAAUAAGGUCUCUAUUCCACUGCUUUGUGUCACAAUCAAUCAAUUCAUCAACAGUAGCUGCCACACUAAGACUUCCGCCCACAUGGUUCAGUUUGAAUUCACGCUUUGAGGGGAUCCAGUUGUCUUUGAAUAUUUUGAUGCUUCUACCAUUACCCACUUCCCAUCUAGCUUCUGAUUCAAUUACUCUUGUGGCUGAGAGCAAGCUUCGCCAUGCAUAGCUAGGUUGAAAUCCUGCUUUAGCUUCCAUAAAAGACGACCUAGGAAAGUAUCUAGCUUUGAACAUUCUUGCCACAAGUGAUGAUGUGUCUUGCAUGAUCCUCCAACAUUGUUUCCCUAGGAGAGCACUGUUGAAAUCAGAGAAGGAUCUGAAACCUAACCCUCCUUUCCCUUUAACAGCACCCAUUCUUUUCCAACUAACCCAAUGCACCUUUCUGCAAGUUUCAUCUGAUCCCCACCAAAACUUAGCAAGCAUUCCUUCAAUGGCAUGACAACAUCCUUCCGGUAACUUGUAGCAGCUCAUGAUGUAAUUCGGAAUGGCUUGUGCAACAGCUUUAAUUAGAGUCUCUUUUCCGACCCGGGAUAGGAAUUUCUCUUUCCAACCUUUAACCUUUUUCCAGACUCUCUCCUAAACAAAUGAAAAUAUAUCCCUUUUAGAUCUUCCAAACACAACUGGAAGGCCUAGGUACCUUGAGUGGGAUGUCACACAGUCUUUAUAGCUAUCUGCUGACAGAUCAUUUCUUUCUCUUGAUUUUGGACAUUUCGACUAUAUGACAAAAGUUAUGGUCAAUCCUUGUAGAUCAUAUUCAUGGUCAAUAGGAUUACUCUUUCCGUCACAUCGUCUGUAAAUACCACUUGUAAGUUUAGGGUUUAGACACAUUUAAUCAAUCAAAAUAUCAUUUUCACUUGCUUUUACAUCUGUCUAUUUUUUAUUUUACUGUUAUUUUCUUAGCUUAGUUCUCAAAAUUCCUAAAUUUUUUUAUUUAAGUUCUUAGGAGAAGUUAUGCAACCCACAAUUGAGGGAUAAAACGUAUUUCCUAGCGUAAUCAUCUAAAGAAAUGAGAAUUACUUUGAAAGCUAUUACUCAAAUUCUCGUUAACUAUUAAAUUCGAUAAUAAUAGGUAUUGUUCAAAAGACGUAAAAACAACUCCAAAUUCGAUAUUCAUGUAAAUGCUUAGAAUAAUGAUGUAGACCAAAUGGACUUCAAUUCGAUAUAUUCGUUGCAGUCUUAUAAUAAGGUAGGGACAAAUUGAAUAAACAAAUAGAAGUUCUAUGACUAAAGAAUGUGAAAGCAUAAAAUGAUAUGCAUAGGUAGCCAAUUUUGAAACUUGGCCGUCCUUGAAUUCCGAGGUUAUAUAUCAUUGAGUUGAAAACACUCUUUUGAAAAUAUUAGCUCCAUAAUUUAUUUAUUGAUUUAAAAAAUAAUACAAGUUGUAUUUUAAAUGAUAAAAAACAUAACUAUAAAAUUCAUACAUAUUAAAUAUUGAGAAGAAAGAAAUUACAAGUUCAAAUCGAUAUCCCGGAAUAUCCAUAAUAGAAGCUCUUUAUUUCCGAAAGUGGUAAUUACACUUGAUAGUGGUAAUAGAUAUAAAUUUUAUGUUUGAUUAUUUUUGUGAACAAAAUUAUAUGAUAAAGGAUAUGUUUAGGCAUCUCCAACAAAUUAAUAGACUUUUGCCUACGGUUUGCAAAAAAGAAACUAAAAAAAUUAAAUAAAUUUAAUUGCAUGUUUGAUCCCUUAAAUUUAAUUUAAGUUUUAGUGUUGAUCUCUUAUGUUUUAAAAGUUUUAAUUGGUCUAAAAUAUUAUUCACAUUGAAAUAAGUUAAUCAUUUCUGUCACUUGCUCGUUUAGAUAUUUGAGUUGAGAAUACAGGUGUUGAAGUUUAACUUAUUAAAAAAAUCAAUUUUUAUUUUUAUUUUAUUAAACUCAAUAUUAUGUGACGGAAGAGAUUAACUAAUUGAAAUGUGAAUAACGUUUUAGACCAACUUGAAUUUUUUAAAACAUAAGAGACAAACUUAAAACUUUUAAAGUUUAAGGAAUCAAUUUAAAACCUAACAUGAACGUAUGGGACCAAACAUAUAAUUAAGAAAAAAAAUACUACCUCCUUUCUUUUUUUAUAAGAAAAUUUGGGUCAACAUUUUUGAACCAAAUUAUAAUUCUUAUUGACCAAUAUGUCUCCUAUAAAAAAGCAUCGUAACAAAAUUUAUCAGUGUGAUUUGAGGAAUGAACACAGACGUGUCGUAUAAAUUUGAAGUAUUAAGUCGUAUGAUCUCAUUGUCAUUUGAUUUGUUUAUGUGUCGUAUAUAGAAAACUCAUUUAUUGUCACUACGUGAACAAUUCAUUGAACCCAACAAGAAUUCAUUCUUGUUAAUACGUGGGUGAUUAUCAUUCUAGUUCUAGAACAUAAACUUUAGUUUUGUACUAUCACUAAUAUUCUAUAAUUUCUUUUUUAAAAUCAAAUAUCUUUAACGAGUAUAUACUAAUAGAAUCAUAAUAAAUCAUACAAAACUAGGGGCGGCAUGGGAAGGUCAUGGCCACCCCAUUUUUGUCUCUUUUUAUAGUGCUAUAAGUAAUUACUUCACUUUUUCUUUUAUUUUUGUCUUUUGAGUUUUUUUUCUUUAUUUUGGUCCUUAAAUUAUAAAUGUUAGACGAUUUAAUUUUUAAGUUUUUUAAAUUUCUUUUUGGUCACUUAAUCAACAAAUACUAGAUAUUUUGAUUUUAAGUUACAAACUUUAGACAUUUUAAUCUAUCCUAUUAAAAAUUGAAAUGUCUUAAUAUUUCUAACUUAAGAAACAAAAGUGUCCAACUUCCAAAAUAUAAGGGACGAAAAUAAAACGAAAAAAAAUAAAGAACCAAAUUAUAUAUAAUUUGUAACUUAAGAAACUAAAAUUAAAGAUAAAAGACUUAAGGGGCUAAAGCAAAAUCUAAAAUAACUUAAAUAACAAAAAAUAUAAUUUAACCUAUAUAAAAUUACUUAACUUUAAAAAAAUUGGAACAAUAUUUUUAUUUUAAAUGGUAUAUAAAGGGGGCCCUCUUAAGUAUUAUUUCUAACUCUACCACUUAUUAUAUGACAAAAUAAGGUUAUUAUAUUUCUUAUCAUGUGCGGUUAAACACAUGAUACAAUACUUUUUUGUCAUGACUAUCUCAUAUUCUAUCAUUAUCUUACUUUACAUCAUUCUAUAUUACUUCAUUCUUAACAAUACAAGACAAUUAACUUUUUAGAUGUAUUGUACAAACUAUGUAUUUGAUCUAAUUAUAUAACAGAAACAUCGCUUAUUUAAUAAAUUUAAUUCUUUUUUGUACUAAUUUUGAUGUAGGUGAUCUCUUUAGGUAUUCUACUAUAGGAGACUUGAUUUUUUAAAUAGAUGGUAAUCAUUGGAUGUACUUGAUAUUUUUUGAAGACCAUAAUAUUAUUAUACUCUUUUAAUACUGGAUUUAUUUUACACUAUAUUCCAUCAUCCUUCUCUCUCCCCUUCCUGUCUGCUUAUUGGCCCACUGGCCACCACGAACAACAAUAGCAUGCUCUCAAAUAUAAUGUGUUAGAAAGAAAUAUGGAGUCUUCAAUCAUUGUUCUUAUUAAGAUUGAAGAUUUUUGCAGAUAAUUAAGAUUGUACUUCUAUAUUCAUGUUAUUUUGGAUUUUGGAUCUUCAAUAAGCAUAAGGUUAAUUGUUAUUCAUUAGAGUCCAUUUGGUGCACAUGAUAUGAUAGAGAUAUGAUAUGAUUAGAAAAAUUGAUAAAGAUAGAAUAUGAUAAUGGCAGGAUAAAUAUUUAUCCCCUCAUGCAUUUGAUGCACACAUAAUAAGAAAUAUGAUAACAUUAUUUUAUCCUAUCAUAUGUUUGGUGGAAAAACUUAACAACGUGCAUAUUCAUCUCCAUCGUCAAUCUAAGUGACUUUAAUAUCAAACAUUUAUUUACAGAUUAGUGUCAAAGUCUCAUUGAUAGGUUCGUUCACAAAUCAUUUUGGCUCUGUUUGGUAAAAAUAGCGGAUAGCUGAUAAGCUAGCUGAUAGCUUUUAGCUGAUAAGCUAAUUGAAGUGUUUGGUAAAAAUAGCAGUUCAACUAGCUAAUAAAUGUAAAAUGACAUAAAGGGUAUUCUUAAUUCAUAAUAAAAAUUAUAUCAUUAAUUUAAGUAUUUGUAAUUUUAUAAACUAAUUUUUCUUUAAAAAGAUACUUUAAAUUUAUUAAUUUAAUAUAUCCUAUGUAUUAUAAAUUAAAUUAAAUUUUAUUCACUAAAAUUUUAUCUUAUAUUUAUUAUCAUUUAAGUGUUUUCACUUUAUAAAAAAAAUAACAUUUACCUCAAAAACAAAAAAAAAGGUAGCACUAAUAGAGUAAUACUAAUAACAGAGAAUAAAGAAAAUAACACUUACCUCAAAAAAAAAAAAAACACUAAUAGAAUAAUAGUAUUUUGUUUCGUAAAAAAAAACGAAGGUAUAUAUUUUUUCAAAAAAAAAAAAAAAAGGUCAGCUAAUAUAUAUACAAAAAUUGGAAUAAAGGGAUAAUAGUCUUUAUUAUGUAGCUUAUUAUAAAAAUUAUAAUGGAUAAAAAUACAAUUUAAAUGAAAUAAUAAGGGUAAAAUUGGAAGAAAAAGUGAGAAGUUAUAAGCUAUAAGUUCAAACGUUACUUGAAAUAGCUUCUGAAAAAUAGCUUAUAAACUUGUGAAAUAAGUUAUAAACUCAUGGUGAAAAGGUGUUACCGAACAGAGCUUUUUUUGUCAAACGAGCUUAUAAGCUAUAAGUUAAAAGCUAAAAGCUUUUUUUUGGUUAACCAAACAGACCCAAACUUAUAAGCUUUGUAUAACGAAAAUGAAUCCGUCACUAUUUUGUCUCUCCAUUGUGUCACAAACUUGUACUCUAUCGCUAUACCAAGCCAGAUUCAUCCCAGUCAAAAAAAGCCUGAUGAACCUUUUUCUUUACCGAAAGUAAAUAAAUAUAUAUACUCAUAUAUAUGAAUGACAACUGAUUUUAGUGGGACCUGUCUUUCUAUAAUUAAAAUAAACAGGGAGAUUUUAUUAUUAUUAUUAUUAUAGUUGAACAUUUUAAUAGACGAACAAUGAAAAAUAACUUAAUUCUUUAUCAAACUUAAAUCUAGAUAUACAAAAUUAAAAUCCAAAAUUAAUUACUAAUUUUAAUUAGACAUUAUUUUAUACAAAUUUGCUCAUAACAACACAAUCUUUUCAAACCUCAAAUUUUAAAACAUACAUCUUGAAUAUUACUUUUGGUAUAAACAUCUUGAAUAUCAUAUUGACACUAAAAUUCAGAUAAAGUUAAAUAUUUUAGAUAUUAUAAAACUGAAACAAGCAAAUUAAAAAUACAACAUAUAGUCUCCAUGAGCUUAGCUCAGUUGGCAAUGACAUUGCAUAAUAUAUGUAGGGGUUGAGAUUCGAACCCCAGACAUCUCACUUCUGCAUAUUUAAUAUGUGUGAGCUCUAUCCACCAGACUACUUGACAAAAAAAAAAAUACAAUAUAUAGUAUACAAUAAAAUAUUUCGGCUUAUAAAAAAAUACGAUGAAAUAUUUUGUAUGUCGGUGUCCUUUUCCUCAUGUAGAUAAAUGAUAUUAAAAUACUUUUGUGGAAGAAAAAAAUUAUAUUAAAAUGCAUAACAGUAAAUUAAGAUUUUUUUAAAUAAUAAUAAAUUAAAGUUUAUUUUAGAAGUAAUAAUAAGGUAAAGAUUGUUAAAUCAACAUUUGUCCUCGUAAGGUUAGCUCAGUUGAUUAGGAUAAUGCAUAAAAUAUGCAAGGUCGGGGUUCAAACCUCGACCACUACCAAAAAUAAAAAUCAACAUUUGAACUCAAAAUUAUAAGUGCCCGACAACUAAAUAUAUUGAAUUUUCUUUCAAAAAAAAACUAAAUAUAUUCCUUUAAGUUAAAAAAACAUCAAUCAAUUUAAUUCUUUCAACAAAAUAUCUUAUCAAAAGACCUAGAUAUAUUUUUUUGGGAAACUAUGUUAUUAGUGUGCAUCAUUUAUUGAUUUUAGUGAUCAUUAACUUCCGUUGAAGAAUCUAGUCAAAUAAGAUAUCUACCAAAAUAUAUAAAUAAAUAUAAAAAAAAAAAAUAUAUUGUCUUAAAUUUAAAAGUAACUUAAUCGACCAAUACUCUUCAAUUUGAAAAACUAACUUGCUAAUUUAUAAAUUUAAAAGACUAAAAAUCUAACUUUUACAAUUUCAAAGACAAAAAUGUUGAUUUACAAAACAAUCUACACCUAUCUUGUUCUAAAAACACAAACGAGUGCUAGACUUAUUCACAUAUUGUCAAAUUUAUACAGCACAAAGAUAUGCAUUAAUUGACCCAAUAAUAUUAAAAUAUCACUAGUUCACGAUCAGGACUCACCAACAACCUCAAUGAGCUGAACAAAGUGAGAUUUCCAAAUAGGUCCUACCAAAGUUCUAUAAAUAUCAUCCCUCACUAUGUCAUAAACCGCAUCACAAACUAAAUUAGUUGUAUUCAUAUUAUAUACCACUUCUUUCAUUUACUUCUUGAAUUUUGAUCCUUUUUAAUUAUCUUGAUAUAUAUCAUGGGUGUUUUUACUUUCAAUGAUGAACAUGUCUCAACCGUGGCUCCAGCUAAACUCUACAAAGCUCUUGCAAAAGAUGCUGAUGAAAUUGUCCCAAAGGUGAUUUCUGCUGCCCAAAGUGUUGAAAUUGUUGAAGGAAAUGGAGGACCAGGAACCAUUAAGAAGUUAUCCAUUGUUGAAGGUAAUUAAGAUCACAUACUAUGUACAAAUAUAUAAUACUUAACAUCAAAUGAUACAUAGUGUUCGCGUAAAAUUGUUUUGCACCGACAACCGAUCAAUGUUUGUCGGUACAACAAAGAAUUGGGUUACUACCUUUUAUUUGAAAAUUGACAAACAUGAUGUGACAAAUUAAAGAGUUGUAAUUGAUUAAAUGAUACAUAGUUUUAAUAAUUUGAUUAAAUGAUUCACAAAUAAGUUAAGUUAAAUUCAUUAUUACCAAAAAAACAAAGUUAAAUUCAAGUGUAGUAAAAAAAAAAUUAUUCAAUUCUAUUUGGAUAGUCAUUGUAGAAUUUUAAAAUAUAAUCUUGAGAAAUAAAGGAGACAAUACAUAAGCUUGUACCAAGGGCAUGUCUAAUAAUUAUGGACCUUCAAAAAAAAAAUGAUUCAGGUGAUUCAGGACACUUGGUAAAGUUCAAAACGAUCUUUAACCGAAAGAGUUUUUAGUCAAACUAUACUUAUAUUGAAAAAAGAACUAUAUAAAUAAGGAAAAUGUUAACAAGUGUCCUUAAGGUAUUGUUUAAGCAUCCAAAAUUAGUAGUUUUUACUUUGAAAAUUGUGUAAUUAUGACUUGUAUAUAUGUUUGACUUGUAUUUUCAAGACAAACUUUUUUUUUGUGGAUUCCUUUAACAAUGUCCUUAAGACACUUGUUAACAAGACCAUGUAAAUAAUUAUAAUGGUUAUAUUGCAGAUGGCAAAACCAACUUUGUGCUACACAAAUUAGAUGCAGUAGAUGAGGCAAACUAUGGAUAUAACUACAGCUUAGUAGGAGGAACAGGGUUGGAUGAAAGUUUAGAGAAAGUUGAAUUCGAGACAAAUAUUGUUGCUGGGUCUGAUGGUGGAUCCAUUGUUAAGAUUUCAGUGAAAUAUCACACCAAAGGUGAUGCAGUUCUAUCUGAUGCAGUACGUGAGGAGACUAAGGCCAAAGGAACUGGUCUUAUCAAGGCUAUUGAGGGCUACGUCUUGGCAAACCCUAAUUACUAGCCAAUUAAACCCUAUUGAGGACUUUAAUUUGGGUUGUGUUGUUUUAUGCGAAUAAUAAUUAAAGUUUAUGAUGUAGUUGAAUGUGUGUUGAGUAUACAUCAAGGUCUUUGGUUCGUACAUGUGUGUUGGCUAUGUUGGAUGUUGUGAGGUUUGAGUGUUAUUUUGGGUGUUUAAAAACAAAAACCUAUGUUGUGUUGGUGAUAAGGUUUUGCACCAUUUGUAUUCUGCAAUAAAUAAUGCAAAAGAAUUUUAUAGCACUUUCGGUUAUUUGAAUUUAAUUUAGGAUCACAUCAAACUAACAGUGCAUAUGACUUUCGAUUGGUAAUUUUAACCAAAGCUGUCUACAAUUAUUUAAAUAGUUUGGUUGAGUUUUGUCUUGAAUUGAUUUGAGCAAUUUAAAGUAAGUGAAUCAUAUUUUGAAAGAGUCAUCAUGACAAAUUUGAUUUUUAAAACAAAACCCCCAGUGUGUAAAAUAAGCAUGAUGAUGAGGCGGGUGAUGAUGAGUUUUACCUUCCCCAUCCUUAUACCCUACUCUCAUAUACUUACCUGCCACUUUACCUAUAUCUAAUGAGGGUGAGAAGUCGAACCCCAUCACUGUCUCCGACGGGUUUAGGUAUCCCCGCGUCAUCUCCGUUGUGGAUAAUUUUUUUUAAUGAAAAAAGUGUUUUUCUACUUCAGGCGCAAUGUUGUAAUACAUUAUCCUACAAAGAGAUGAUGACGAUCGAUAACUACGUUGAUGGAGAAGUGAGAGACCGAGAUUGAGAAGUGAGAAUCAUCUGAGAGACUAAGACUCUGACUAUGUGAGGAGAAUAAAGAGAACUCUGAGAAGUGAGUGUCAUCUGAGAGACUAAGUUUUGAUUGUGUGAGUGAAAUGAUUUAGGGUUUGAGUUUCUAUUUAUAUAAAAUGGAUAAUAAAUUGAUUUUCUACAUGUGGGGCGGGUUUGAGUGUGGGUUCGGGGUGAAUACAUAUAUCCUCGUUACCUAUCCAGUAUCCAUGUUUUGAAUCAUGGAAAAUUCAAACUCAUACCCAAAUCCAAUAAAAGCAGAGAAAAUCCGUCAAAUUAGAUUUGUUUCAAAUGGGUACCCGCAGAUAUGCAUUUUGUUGUCUUACCUCAAAAUCACUAUUUAGUAUAGAAAAGUUAACUUGUAACUAAUGUACAACUUAAAGUUAAGAAGUUAAAUGCAAAAUUAUAUUUAGAAAUUGCGCAUUUCUUAUCCUAAAGUUUCUUCUUUUUCAAGGGUAAUUCCUUGAGAGUUUAAAAACUAAAUUUUAAUUCAAUACAAAAAUUUUGUUUUGAUUUCAUUUUUAGAUCGUUAAUUUGUGUCCUUGGUAUACAAAUUAACCUAACUCAUUGAGUAUGUGUUUGUUUUUUCUUAAAAAGAGUAUGUGUUUAGCUGUAAAAUAACAUUAAACAUGAGUCGUCCAACCUGACACUCUAAUUAGUAGCUUCUGAACCUCAUGAUUAAAUGGUAACUCACAUUGGCUGUGAACUAACUCUAUCCCAAAUUGGUGCUUAAUACGCUAAUUUAGGGAUAUUUGUGGUGCAGUUUGAAUUAGUUUUGAUGCAAAUAGUCAUCAUAUUUAAAAUAAAAAUCGCAUGCGGAAAAUAUAGGGUAAAAUAUAACGUUUAAUGGAAAAUAUAGCAUGAAUAUAUAUUAAAAAAUAAUAUUACAGAAUAAAAAUUAUCAAUUAUAUUCUAAACAUAGGAAGAAGUAAUACUAUACAAUAAAUUAAUGCAAUAUAUAAAAAAAAAUAAAAAAUAAAACCGAGAAGCUAUAUAUUAAUGCAAUACACACACUAAUAAAAUAAUAAAUAAGUAUUAAAAUUUACAAAACAACAUCCAAAAAAAAUCAAUUUUUUUGUUGUUGUUUUUUUUGGAUUAGUGUACGGUUUUAUUUUGGAUGCGUUUGAAUUUGAAUAACCACAUGCCUACUAGGCUAACUGUGUAUAUUAUUUAGGAAAUGUCAUAAAAGGUACUCCCUCAAUCUUAAAUAAUUAUCAUUAUUUAACUUUCAUCCAUAUCAAUGUACAAUUUUAACUAUUAAUAUUCUUAGUUAUUUAUUAAUAAAAGUUGUAAAAAAUUGAUAUUUUAAAAAUAUUCGUUGAGAUAAAUUGAACAAUAUUUUAUUUACUAACAUUUUAUUUACAAAUAUGAUCAAAGUAGAUUAUGUGAAUCGUACGUAUGGUCAAACUAUGACAAUAAUUUUGAAAUAGAUGGAGUAAUUUUGAAAAUAGAAAAGAGAAAUGUUAGCUAGUGCCUUCCGGUGCACUAGCUAUAUGAAAAACGUGUGGAGUAAUUUUGAAACCAAUAUAGAAAAUUGUGUUGAGAAGUAUGAAAAAGUUGUACGUUCAACUUUUUAAAAGUCAAAAAUUUAUUAUUUUUAUAAAAAAAAAAAUCUACUUCUAAUUUUUUUAACUAAUGCUCCAUAAUCAAUAGUUAGCAUGACUGGAUAAAAAAUGACAUAUCAUAUCAUACUAACAAAUGUUCUAAAGUUACAUUGUUAUGGACAUUUGUUAGCAUUUUUUACUUUUAUUAAAAAAAUAGGCAUUUCACACGGUUACUUUUGGCUUUAUCACAUUUUGCGUUCACAUAUCUUUGUAAAUAAAUAUGCCUUAUAUUGAUCAGGAGUAAAUUGGAACACAACUAGCAUCUCUCCAUUUCUCUCUAUCAUCAUGUGUAUAUCACAAUUUUUUGAAGAAGUUAAAGAAAUCAUGUUAAAAAUCAAAUAAAGCUCCUUUAACAUAUGGUGCGUCAAAGCAACCUAAUAAUCCAAACAGCUCACAUUACAACAUGUCGUAACAACCCAACAAAAAAUUAGAAAACUAUCUUUAAGCAAAACAAAGGAUUUUGCCUCGAAAACACGUGAUAUAAUUUUAACCACCAAUAAAUUUGUAGUUUAAUUUUUUCACUCAGAGAUUGAAGUUGAUUACUCUUCUGUUGAAAGAUCCUAACAUUUCUUUCUUUGAAAUGACGCAAAGCACUGAAAAGUCGAAAGAAGUUCUCCUUGGCGAAUCCCUUUUUUCAACUUAAACUCAUUAGUAAGGCUACCAUUCACAAGUACCGAAGUCGUUGCUGUUGAGACACAUUCUAAAAUCCAUUGACUCCAGCGCUAAGGGUAAUUCAGUUUGGUCAUCAAAUCUCCCAAAUACCUCCAAUGAACUGAGUCAUAGGUUUUUUUGAAAUCAACCUUAAAAAGAAUAAGUUCUUUCUUAGAUUUACACGCAUCACCCUUUAACUCAUUGGCUAUCAGAAUUGCAUCUAAAAUUUGUCUACCUUUUACAAAAGCAAACUAAGAUUCUGAAACACCAUUACUAACCACCUUCCUCAAUCUAUUAGCAAGAACUUUUGACAAAAUUUUAUACACCCUCCGUCCCUUAAUGUAGGCACCUAUUGCCUUUUCACAUUUCUUAAGAAAUGUUGUCAGUGUAAUUAAUGUGUUUGUUUUGUGUGUUAAUAAUUAUCCUUGGUUUGUAUGUAUUAAAUUUGACUUUUCAUAUUUCAAGACAAGUUAGUAGUAUUAAUUAGGGAUAUGUUUAGGAAAAAAUUAAUAAACGCAUCUAGUAAUUUGAAAUGGAAUUUAAAUUUAGAGAAAAAAAUAAAAUCAAACGGAAACUUAGAUAUAAGGACGGGGGAGUAUAAGCUACCAACCAAAGAAAUAGGUUGAAAAUAUGCCAACUUCUAAAGACUCUUAGCUUUGGGAAUCGAAGUAAUAAAAGUAUUUAUGUCCUUUGUUAACUUACCAUUGUGAUGAAACUCAACAAACAAAUUCUUUGAUAAAACCAAUAUUAAUCUCAUCUUGCUCAGGACUCUUAUAACUAUCACAAUCUCACACUCAUGCCUCUAUCUCUUCCAACAAAAAAGGUAUAAUAAGAUCAGCCACAUCCUUCAUACUAAUAGUUUUAAAAGAAAGAUCCCCUAACCCAGGUCUGGACUCCAUUGCAACUUUAAAAUUAGAUUGAAAAUGUUGAAAAGCCACACUCCUCGCCCCUUCCACACCCUUAAUCUGAACACCUUUAACAUUAAUAGAAAUAAUCACAGUUGACCCGUCUCCUAGAAGACACCACCCCAUGGAAAAAAAAAAAAAAAACGAAUUAGCACCACCCUUCUUUAACCAAGUCGAUCUAGAUUUUUGCCACUGAAUACUAAAAUGUAAUUUAUAUAAAGCCACAACAUCUGCUAAUAGAAAUCAAAGAGAGAAAUCAACAUAUCAAACAAAACGAAACCGAAGAACCAAUGCAAAUUGAACUAAAUAACCAACCUAAAUCAAACCACCAUUAAUCAAAUCAUCCUUAUCAAAUCCACCAAUCAAUCACAAUACUAACAAUUCCAUCGUGUGAAGAACAAUGAAUUCAAAUGGAGAAAAACUAAUGGAUAUCAAAAUAAAUCCAUAGAGAACAACCGUGACAAUUGCUUAACAAAUAGUAAUUCAACUAAAAAGAAAAGUCCUAAUCCAACAAAAACCAACACAUUAAUAUCCAAGUGCCAUCAGGACUCAACUGAAUCUUUGAAUCAAAAAAAUAAUAGAUAGCUAAAACAAUAAAUCUUAUAGUUUACAAACAAAUCAAAAUGCAAAACAGAUUCCUAAUUUUUUUUUUUUUUUUUUUGAAAAAUUAACAACGGAAUAGCCGUGAAUCAUAUAAGGAGGGUCAAAACAUGCUCUUGAUACCAUGUUAACAAUAUUAGGUUUAGAGCUCUUAUACAUGGAGCAUCGUAGGUGACAUACAAACUUUCACGGUGUGAUGUGAAAUUACUAAAAUACCCCUGUCACAUGGGGGUAUACAUGAGAGGUACAUAAAAAAGGAUGUCUAUCUAUCUUUUUUCAUAGAUUUAAUAAAAAAGGGAGAAUAACACAAAACAACUAGAAUUUUAUAAAAUGUAGAUGACUUAACAUUACAAAAGGUUAACAUAAACCUAAUGGAUUACUAACUUAAUAAUAGUUUAAGUUAAAAACUUUAUUAUCUAACCAAUUUUAUCUACUUCCAAUAUAUCACCUACGAAUUUUCUAUUUUUGAAUCCCGUCUACACUCUGAGUCAUGGAAUACUGCGAGACUAUUUCAUAUUGAUUUUCGUAACCCAAUUCAAGAUAACACAAAGAGGGUUGACCCAAUCACAAUCACCAAUAAAUAAAUGAGCUUUUGUCAAAAAAAGACGACCUGAUCAAUGAGCUAUUUUUCAACAAAAUAAAGUGAGAUUUACGAACAAGCCACAAGGUAUGUCCUACCAAAGUUCUAUAAAUACCAUUCCUCACCAUCUCAUAAACCCACAUCACAAGCGAAAUUAGUUGUAUUCAUAUUAUACAUUUCUCUUUUCAUUUUCUUCUUGUAUAUUGAUCCUUUUUAACUAUCUUGAUAUAUAUCAUGGGUGUUUUUACUUUCAACGAUGAACAUGUCUCAACCGUGGCUCCAGCUAAACUCUACAAAGCUCUUGCAAAAGAUGCUGAUGAAAUAGUCCCAAAGGUGAUUUCUGCUGCCCAAAGUGUUGAAAUUGUUGAAGGAAAUGGUGGACCUGGCACCAUCAAAAAGUUAUCCAUGUCUGAAGGUAAUUCAUUAAGAGCAUUUACUAUAUCCCUGUCAAAAAAAUACAACUUUAUUAAUUAGUAAUUCAAUAGACAUGUUAAGAAAUCAUAUACUCACUUUUAUUUUUGAAUUAGAUUUUGAGUGUUGAAGGAGACCAAUGAUAAUACAUAAACUGAGUCUAUAUAUAAAUAAUAAGCUUCAAGAAACAACUAAUUUCCAUGGAAAAAGAAUAUAUAAGAUACUUCAUGCAAGAUUCAAGAGAACCACUAAACUGGAGACAGGGCCGGCCUAAGGACCAAACAACCUAAACAAGGGUUUUAGGCUUCAAAACUUUUGGUAAAAAAAAAGGUCUUUAAAAAAUUAAUUUGGUCAUAAGUAUAUUAUAUGACAGAUAAAUUACAGACAUUUGAAUAGCUUAACUGAUCAAAAAGGUUUUAAUUACUCAUGGUCAUGAAUUCAAAUUUUGGUCUCCACGCAAUUGCUUUUAUAUAAAUAUUCUAUUAAAAAAAUAAUUUCAAAGGCCACAUUAAAUUUUUUGAUUUAAGCCUCUUAAUCUGUUGGGUCGGCCAUGGCAGGAGAUCCAACUAUUUGUAUAAACUACAGUCGUUGAAAUGUAACUAUUGUGAGAGUGUUGCUUGUUUUCAUUAUAUAUAGUAGUUAUAUAUUCAAAUGAAAUGAAUGAUCAAAUUAACACUAAAAUUUAGUUAAAAUCAUUUCAAAUAUCAAUAUAUUAUUGUCAAGAUUAAAUUAUGUAAUUUUAUAUGAUUUCAACCUAAUGGUAAAGAGUGGUUAUAAUAUAUCCAGAUUAAUUGUAAAUAGACUCGUAUUCAAUAAUUAUAGUAAUUAAGAUCAACUUUUUAAUCAGCCCAAUAAAAUGUGUGGUCUACAACUAUAAGAUUCACACAAUAUUAUAGUAAAAUAGACUUAACAAUCAAGUGAUUAAAUAUAUCCAGUUACAUUAGAAUUGAUCUAUGACAAAAACAAUUUUUAGUCGAACUUUACUUUCAUUUUGAGGGAACCAACUUAUAUAAAUUAUGAUGGUUGUAUUGUAGGUGGCAAAACCGACUAUGUGCUACACAAAUUAGAAGCAAUGGAUGAAGCAAACUUGGGAUACAACUAUAGCAUUGUAGGAGGAACAGGGUUGGAUGAAAGUUUAGAAAAAGUUGAAUUCGAGACAAGUAUUGUGGCUGGCUCUGAUGGUGGAUCCAUUGUUAAGAUUUCAGUGAAAUACCACACCAAAGGUGAUGCAACUCUAUCUGAUGCAGUGCGUGAUGAAACUAAGACCAAAGGAACUGGACUUAUCAAGGCCAUUGAGGGAUACGUUUUGGCAAACCCUAAUUAUUAAGUAAAAUGUAUACUUGGUUGUGUUGUGUCAUACCAAUAAUAAUUGAAGUUUAUGAUAUGGUUGUUUGAUUUAUACAUCACGAUUUCUAGCUUAUACAUGUGUGUGGGCUUUGUUGUUUAAUUACAAAAAUCUAUGUGUUGAUGUUGAGGUUUUGUACCAUCUAUAAUUCUGUAAUAAAUAAUGAAGAAUUUUCUAGCACUUUUCAUUCGGUAUUUUAACUUUAUAUGCCUUGACCAUUAUUGGUACACCAAUUUCCUUUCCUCUUGUUAUCCUUUUUUUUUCUUUCUUUGGAUUUAUUUUUGACUUGUAACACAUAAAAACUCAACUCAUCACUAGCAUGCUUUGAAUUUUACUAUGGCUGAGAAAAAGUAAAAACAUAAUGUGAGUAUGAUAGAGAAAGUUGUCAUAUAAUGGUUAUAUAAAUAUUAUUUCUCUAUCAUAAAUGUAAAGUGGAAGAUAUUGAAUUGAGAGUGAUGAAAUUUGUAUGGGUCUUGUUAACGAGUGCCCCCGAGGGCACUCUUUAAGCAUACUAAAUUAGAAAAUUAUUCUUUAAAAAAUUCAAAUAAUUCAAUUUCCAAUGCAUUGAAUACAUAACUUUUCAUAAAAAGUUACUAUUUAAGACCCUUAAAGAGUGUCCCCAGGGCACUAGUUAACAUUUCUGAAUUAUAGUAUUAAUUAAGAUGUAUAAUUGAAAAAAGAUAGUUAAUUAAUAUUAUAUUAAAAAGUGAAAUUGAUCAUUCAUUUUAGAUCUUUCUUCUUUUUUACAAAUAAAUUACUUAUUGUGGAACAUGAGGAGUAUCAUUUAUGCUCAAACUAAUCAUGCAAACUCUAAUAUAUAUAAACAAUUAUAAAUCAAAUAGACUUCAAUUUGAUAUUCCUUGCACUCGAAUAAUUUGGUAAGAGACAAAUUAAAUAAAGGAAUUUAAGUUUUUAUAAAUAAUCAACAUGUUAUAAGAUACAAUUGUUUGAAAAAGAAGAAUGGUGGUUUGCGGGUUAGGGUCUCUUAGUUAAUCAUCUAUUUCUGUUUCAUGUUUUUUUUUUUAAUAAUUUAUUUCUGUUUCAUGUUAUUUACCAACUUUAUAUUAGUUUUUUUGUAACUUUUUUAGUACAACUUGUGCUGAAAAGAUUUUGGUUAAUGAUAUUCUAUUUUGACAUGCUAAAAAAAAUGAUGAAUGUGAACCCGUUAAAUAAGUAAACGAUAUAGUACAUAGGUUGCAUAUUUUUAAACUUUGCCGUCUUUGAAUUGAAUUCUUGAUGCUUUUGUCCAAGUCAAAUUUCGAUUUUUAAUUCCUUUGCCCAUCUCUUCAUCGGCCAAAACUUCUGAGCUAAUAAGUCAUUGAUCUAUAUCUAUAUAUCUAUCUAAAGAAAAGUCAUUGAGUUGAAAAUAUCAUUUUGAAGAUAUGCUCUACAAUUUAUGGUUUUGAAAAAUAAUACACGCUCUCUAAUAUGGACAGCUUUGUUUUACACACUUAUUAAUCCUACUUAUUAAAGGUGCUACUAGCUAGUAACAGAUGGGAAACUUUUUGUUUCAAGUUUACCAAAUUUAUUUUUGGUGAUAACAUUUCUUGGAACAUAAAGAUGAGAAUUUUAUUCUAAAAUAUUUAGAAAAAAGAUGUUUGCUUAACAUUAUAGUAUUCUCAGAAACCAUAAAAAUAAGGAUUAUAAUAGAUAAUUACACAUGAAUCUAUUCCCAUGUUCAUGGGAACUUUAUUCCCACUAGUUUCUGUGAGAAAUUUUUUCCAUUCCCAUAAACAUUUUAUACCUGCGAAUAAAAUUUAAUAAAUUUGUAACAAACAUAGACAUGCAUAUGUCUAUUGUUUUAUUCCCAAAAAUCUACAUAGAUAACUUGAAAUAAACGUACCCUUAAAUUUAAUUAUUUACUGAAAAGAAAAAUGUGAUAAGGAAUCUGUUUCUACACCUCCAGGAAACACUAUCUCUUUUUCUUUUACGGAUCAAAGCUACAUUAUUUAGUUCCGUAAAUACAAUUUGAAUGGUAAAAAAUUUAAAGAUAUUUGAUUAAUUGGAGUGCGAGUUUGAAUAUAUAAUUCUUCACUUUAAAUGUUUUAAAGUAGAAUUGAUUUUUUUUGUAAAAUUAAUUCUACUCAAAGCUAAAUGUCGAGGCACGAAUAUUGUUCAAUUCACUUUUACUUAAAUAUAAUAAAACAUAUAUUAUUUUACAUUUAAUCAGAAUUAACUGUACAAAAUUAAUUCAUUUAGAAUCAAAUUUUUGUUGUGUAGCAUAAACAAACACACACUAAAUUACGUAGUUUGAUUUCUUUAUUAAAAAAAAGAAAGAGUAAAAUGAUUUCAUAUUUUGUCUUCAUUCCCAUUAGUUUGUUAUUGUCUUUGUAAUAAAAAAAUUAAAAAAAAUAUUUUUUUUCACUACGUAAAAACUUCACGUAGAUCUUUUUAUCAUUAAUUAAUUCGUGCGUGGUUAUGUACGACUGAGUCUCCUUAUUUUAGGAUAACGACUUCAAAUCUUUCAUACAUCAAUCUUCACCAAACUUUAACGGUGUGUUUGGAUGUAAGAUGAAAAUGAAAAGUGAUAAACAGAUGAGAAAGAGUGUGAGAAGAGAGAAAGCGAUAAGCAAUACAAUAGAUUUGUAGCAUUGAUUAGUAUAAAAAUGAGAAGAGAAAUAUAAAAAAAAAAAACAGAUAUUUUAUUCUUUGAAAAAGACAAAAACAACCUCCAUUAAAAAUAAAAUAGUAAAAUAUCGCUACUAUAUUAUGCUAUCUAAAGUUUGUCAUAAAAAUUAUCCUAUAUUAUAAUUUAUUAGUAUAAUAAUAAAUCUCAUGAAAUAAAGUGAAAAAUUAUUUACUUUUUCAUUGUGCUGUAAAAAAGUACUCCAUGUUAAUCAAUGUAUAAAGCAUUUAAAAGAAAGGGGCAUAAUUGGAAAUAUGCAAUAAAUAGGUUGCUCUAUUGGACUUUCAGGAUUGAAAAAACUGUCGGUACCAAAAAUUAAUUCGAACUUGAAUUAUUUCUUUUAACGCAACUUUAGAUGGCUCCUUGUGACUUUAAUUAAUAAUAUCAAACAUUUAUCUUGUAAAACAAGGUAGGACCUACCAAUAUGUCACUUAGUCAUGGAUUUCUAGACUAAUUCACAUUUUUAGAAUCGAAUUCAAGAUUGUCGACAUCACAAAGAGAAUUGACCCAAUAAAUAAAUAUCAAAAUACUUGAGCUAAAUAAAUAAGUGAGAUUUUGCAAACAAGGUAGGUCCUACCAAAGUUCUAUAAAUAGUAACCCUCAAUGUGUUAUAAACCGCAUCACAAACUAAAAUAGUAGCAUUAUUCAUAUUAUACAUUAAUUUCUCCUUUCAUUUACUUAUUGCAUAUUGAUCCUUUUUAUCUUGAUAUAUAUCAUGGGUUCUUUUGUUUUCAUUGAUGAACAUGUCUCAACUGUGGCUCCAGCUAAACUUUACAAAGCACUUGCAAAAGAUGCUGAUGAAAUCAUCCCAAAGGUGAUUCCAGCUGCUCAGAGUGUUGAAAUUGUUGAAGGAAAUGGAGGACCUGGCACCAUUAAGAAGUUAUCCAUGUCUGAAGGUAAUUGAUUAAGAUUAUAUAACAUUUACACAGUUGAAUUUUUGGGACUAGAGUUGAUUGUUGGUAUAUUGAAAUGAGAUUCAACAAUCAAGUAAUUAACGAUAUCCAGUUACGUUCAGAUUGAUCAAUGACUUAAACAAUUUUUAGUCAAACUUUAUUUAAAUUUGAGGGAACAAAACUUAUAUAAAUUAUGAUGGUUUAAUUGUAGGUGGUAAAACCGACUUUGUGCUACACAAAUUAGAAGCAAUGGAUGAGGCAAACUUGGGAUACAACUAUAGCAUAGUAGGAGGAACAGGAUUGGAUGAAAGUUUAGAGAAAGUUGAAUUUGAGACAAAUAUUGUGGCUGGAUCUGAUGGUGGAUCCAUUGUUAAGAUUUCAGUGAAAUAUCACACCAAAGGUGAUGCAGUUCUAUCUGAAGCUGUACGUGAGGAAACUAAGGCCAAAGGAACUGGACUUAUCAAGGCCAUUGAGGGUUAUGUUUUGGCAAACCCUAAUUACUAGCAAAUUAAACAUUUGCUUUAAUAAUAAUUAAAGACUAUGAUAUGGUUGAAUGUGUGUUGGAUAUUUUGAGGUUUGAGUGUUGUUUUGAGUGUUUAAAAACAAAAACCAAUGUUGUGUUGGUGAUGAGGUUUUGCACCAUCUGUAUUAUGUAAUAAAUAAUGCAAAAGAAUUUUCUAGCACUUUCCGUUAUUUUUUUAGAGGAAUAGCACUUUACAUCAUUUUAAUUUAAUUUAGGAUAACAUCAAACUAAUAGUGCAUGUGGUUUUCAAUUGGUUGAAUUUUAAACUAACACUGUCUACGGUUCGAUUAUUUAAACAGUUUGGUUGAGUUUUGUCUUGAAUUGAUUUGAGCAAAUUAAAGCAAUUGAAUCAUGUUUUGAAAGUCUCAUCAUCUUGUCCAAUAUGAUUUUUAAAACAAAACCUACUGGUUUGAUAAACCGUUAAAAGGGAAUUAGAAUACAUCGAAACAACACAAAUUUUUAUGAUACUAAAAUUAAAGAAGAUAAAAUUGUGAAUACCUAUAAAAGUCUCACAACACCCUAAUUUCUUUUUUCUUUUUUAAAACACAUGUAAGUUAAUAACAUAAAAGGAUAAAAAUACCUAUAAAUACGACAAAUAAAGCAACUAAAAUACUAUAUGCAGAGCCUACCCAACAUUUUGGUAGGCCUAAAGUGAAUUUUUUAUUGAUGCUUUUUAAAGUAAAAUAUUAAACUUUGUUGAACCCAAGGUUUGAACCAAAGAUGCAGAGGAUUUGAGACCUCUUCUUGACGAACUAAAGUUAUGCAAGCAUUUAUAAUUAUUUUAUCAUAUUAUGUAUUUAUAUCUAAAGUUGAUAUGGUCAUUGCGUAUCCACGAGGAUUUGAGGCCUCUUUGUUGCUGCCUACCCACGAGGUUUAAUUUGCAAAAUCAUGGAGUCCAUUGUCUGUCACUUGUGUGGUUUGUAAUAAUGAUUUGAAAGAUCAAAUGCACAUGUUUAUGCACUGUAAUUUUGCUACUGAUUGUUGGAAAGAAGUAAAUCUUUGGGCAAGAUAAAGUCAUACAUAACGUCAAAUGAUAGUUUUUCAUCCAUUAUCUUUGAUAUUCUUGUAGCUAUUUAUUGAGUGUUUGGCAUGCACGUAAUGCUUGUUUAUGGGAGGAAAAACUUGUCGAUGCACAUACAUCUUGCGUCCUGGAAUUAGAUACAGUUCGAGAUUACGUGUGGUGUCAUCGUCUCAACGAUGUUGUGCAGUCUGCUACUCCAACUUAGUCCAAACUGCAGGCAGAUUGGAUCAAGUCUUACAUCGAUUGUGUUCUUUUUGAAGCUGAUGGAAAAUUUAGUGUUGGUAUCUGUUUUCGAGACCGCCUUAUCCAAGAACUAUUCCAUCCUAUAGCAAGAAGCUUAGAUAUUAUCUUAUAAAGCACAUUACAUAAUGAAAUUACCCUCCAUUCCUUCAUACUAGUUGGUUUUGUCACAUUUAGGAAUAAGGCAAAUAUUAUUAUCAUUCAAUUAAUGUGCUCGGAAAAUAACCUAUAUAUAACCACAUAUUCACAACUUCAAAAAUUUCAUCACUACAAAGAUUCCAAAACCUUGAAAAAAAAAACCCGGAUUAAAACCAUGAAGACUCGAUGACUUAUUUGAAUGCAUUUGAAAUAACGUAAGUUUCAGCUCCUCUUUAGUAAACGGUGCUAAAAUAAGGUUGUUGUUUGCAUCGGUUAUCUUUGGUUGAAGGUGACAACUAGGCUACCCAUGAAAGAAUGAUGGGUAAUUUACCCUAACCAAUACACAUUAGCCACAUAAGCACAUAUUCAUGAACUAUCUUGACCCCACAAAUAAAUUGUUCAUUUUCAUUGGUUGGUAGGUAAAUUACCCACCAUUCUUCAAAAGUAAUUUAAAAAGAACCUUGAUGGAAUCAUACCAAUCAUUAAAAUUUUCAAUAUCACAAUCAUUUACCGCCUCCUUAAACCCAAGAUAAAUCCAAUUAGGAUGGGAAUGUUGGCCUCGAAUAUUCUCUUGAGAUAAAAUAUCAUUAAAAUUUCUUAUGAUACACCAAGGCAUAUGAGACAUGUCCCUCAACUCUCUGAGACAUGUCCCUCAACUCUCUGAGCAUAUUCCAAGAAUCUCUUCUUCGACCUCCUUUUGGGUAACCAUAAAAAUCAGUUAACAUUGAUUCUCUUUUUAUUGUAUCUUCCACAAUUAAAUUGAUAUUGUUUAUAGAGUAAUUAAGAAUUUUACACAAGCUAUUAACUUUUCAUAUCACUGCUAUCUAGGGGUGGGAUUAGGUCGAGUCGGGCCAAACUUUACUUAAAUAGGUCAGAUCUAAUUUAAAAAGUUAAAGCCUAGGCGACCUAUUAGCUUGUCAAAGACUUUAUUUUAAGUCUAAGCUUUUUAAAAGUCUAGCCUAAUAUUGUCAAAAAGCCUAGUUUAUGCUAAGAAUUUUAAAUAGAAUAUCUGUUCUAUUUAUAAAAAGGCUAAUAAACAUAUAUUUCUUAGAAGAUUAAUAUGCCAAUAAAAUUUUGUAGAGCUUGUAUAUCAAUUUUGUUUCACUCUGUAAGCAUAUAUUGCAUGUAAAUCGAAUAUAAUUUGGUAAGGCCUCUACAUCAAUUGUAUAGAGGCUAUUAGCCAUAUAUGGGCCGAAAAUUUAUUAAUACAAUGGAGGAGUAUAUAUAUAUAUAUAUAUAUAUAUAUAUAUAUAUAUAUAUGAGGAGGGAUAUUUUGACUUCAAGAGUAAGUUUAUAGACUUAUUCCAAAUCUCCACCUUUCAUCUUAUUUUAAUCUAAUAGUUUAAAUGUGAGUUUUAAUUGUUAAUCAUGUGACCAUUUUUUUGGAUCUCAUUCUUAUAAAUAUUUUCUCCAUUUAAUCUCCCUUAUUAAUUAAUGUAAUAAAUACCUCCCCAAUUUUAUUUUAUUUUUUGGCGCACCUUUGCCAAUUCAAAAAGUGUUUUUUAAUCUUUUUCUCCAACAUUAGAGCAAGGUUGCAGUUUGAAAUAUAAAUUAAAAUGUAAGCUUUCCACUCUCACCUCUUGAACCUAUGGAUGAGAAGAUUUUUUUUAUUGAAAUGUAAAUCAAAAAGGAAAGAAAUGAGAUUGAGAGCCAUCAUGUAGAAUUGAGGUUGGAGUGAAACGGAGAGCCAUCACUCUAUAUCCUAUUGUGAUUUAUAUGAUUAUCCAAUCAAAGAAAUUGGGUGUAUACAAAAUCAAUUGGGUGAGUUAGGGUACAAAGCAUUAGGAGGAAAUUUUGUUGUUUUCUGAGAGUUAAAAUAAAUAAAAAAGUAAUUAAGGGAUAAAUGAAAUUUGUUUUAUGAGAAUAAAAUAAAAAAACUUAAAAGUGUGUUUAUGAGAGAAAGGAAAUUUGAUUUAUGAGAAUUAAUUAAGGGAGAAUAAUUGGAGAAGGUAUUUAGAUCCACAAAGAUGGUCAUAUGAUUAACAAUUAAAACCCACAUUUAAGCCAUUAGAUUAAAAUAAGAUGAAAGGUGGAGAUUUGGAGUAAGUCUAUAAACUUACUCUUGGAGUCAAAAUAUCCUCUCUCUCUCUCUCUCUCUCUCUCUCUCUCUCUCUCUCUCUCUCUCUCUCUCUCUCUCUGUAUAUAUAUAUAUAUAUGAGAUAUGAGAUAGAAUCCGUUGACACUUUAUAUUGACACCAAAUCAUAUCCCUUGAUUUCAUUUGAUCCAAUAGCUCCUAUUAAUUCACUUAACCUUGUACCUAUGUGUGAUGCACUGAACCACACCGUCGUCUUCAUUCUCACGUUAUACGUACGCCGUCUGCUAUCUGCAGUUUUCGUUCAUCUCUUCUCCCCUUGCACACCUUCACAAAUGCUUCAUCUAUAUUAUGUGUUGCUCCUAUCGAAAUUAAAACCCACUAUUCAAUUAGUGGUGGAUAUGAGUUAAAACCUUGUACGCUAAUUCUUCAAAUGGAUCCUCUAAGAUUAAUUCCUCAAAUUUUUUGAUUAGAUUUAUGAAAUCAAUAAUAAUUGGAUGACGUUAGAAAACCGAUGGACAUUAUUUAUUGAUUUGCUUCAAUUUGUGCAAUUUUAGGUGAGAAAAAGAAAUUGCAUAUCAGAAUGCAUAAUAUAAAAUAAAAAAUUGUGGGUUUGGUAAAAUGAAAAACUAUGUAAAUUAAAAUGAAAACCAAGAGUUGUUUCCUUUGUUUGGGUAUGGACAAGGAAGUAGCCAAGAUACAAGAGACAACAUUUUUCCAUUGUUGUUCCUGUAUACUUUGUUCAGCAAGAUUGAAAAGGAACAAAAAGAAAAUAAGAGUGCACAUUACAGUGAAAAAGGCCUAUGUUAGUUGAUUUAGUAAAUAAUUAUAAGCCUGUUACAGUGAAAAAGGCCUAUGUAAGUUGAUUUACUUUUUUUAUUCUGAUCUAUUUAAAUUAAUGGUUUUUUUAAAAAGCUUGAAUCUGACUUAUUUACUAAACAAGCUAAACCGGUCUGGGUUUUAAGUAAGUCGAGUUAUAAGCCCCUAACAAACGGUCUGGCUUAUUUUAGGAUUUAGGGUUUACCCAAAUGAUCCCUCCACUUCUCCCUUCAACAUAUAUAGCACAACAAGAAUCAAAACCAAACCUAACUCGUAAGAAUUCUAUAGUCAUUGCUUUUGCCAACGUCUCGUACAAAUAAAGAAUAUCAAGAUUUUAUUUUUGGUUAAUAAAAAGUAGUAAUGCUAAAGGAAGAGACAACCCCAAAAAAAUUAGCUCUAAUAUUUAAUGUAAUACUACUAUGCAUGUAGUAGGAAUAAAUGGGAAACGUAUGCUCUUUUUUUUUUUUUUUGUUACCUGGGAAACGUAUGUUUGAUUGUUUAUUGAAUAGUAGAAAAUUGUUGUAAAGGAAUUCUUUUUUCGACGUUAUAAAGGACUCUCUUUAUGCAUCUCCAAUAAACACUAUCUAUACUUUGUAAAAAGAAUACAAAAAUAAAUGUGAGCAUUGAUAGGGAUAUGAUAGCAUCUAGGAAUCGGGUUCCACCUUAGUUUCUUCUCCUUUAUCCAUUACUAACAUAUGAUUUAUGGUCAAUUUUCAACCUCAAAGAGCAUUCCUUUAAUAAAUAGUUUCCCGUUUUUUUUUUUAUUAUUUAAAUAAUCGAUUUUCACAUCUAUUUAGUUUAUUUCUCUAAUUUUUUCAUCAUCUUAGUGCGACGUUAUUUUGUUUGUCGUCUUUGUGUGACAUUGUUUAUCUUUAUUGUCUUGUUUAGAUGUUUGUUUCAUUCAUAUUGUCAUAUCAAGUUUGAUGCAGUGCAUGUUCAAUCAAUGAUUUAAAAAUUGUCAACGUUGUUGUGAGUUUGUUCGUGGAUUCAUCAAUUUUGUUUUUAGCAAAUUCAUAUUGUAUCGGUGUACUCUAUCAAUUUGAAUGAAUAAUAUCAUUUAUUACUAAAAAAAAGUACCGGGUACAAACUUUAAAUUUUCCGUUUAGUUAUCUUAAAGUGAAUUUUUAGCCACUAAAUUAUUUUAUUAAAAAAAAUCACUAUAUAUAAUGAUUAAAAUUAUAAGCGUAAUUUCAGGAGUGAACAUAGACCUUUAUUCAAAAGGGAAUGAACAUAGACGUAUAAUUAAAGGAGAACGAUAUUUCAUUGUCAUUAAUUUGUUUAUUGUCACUACGUGAAUAUUUUCUAAUUAUUUCGUGGGUGACUGCGACUGAGUCUAUUCAACAAAAAACAAAAAUCUACCGACUAAGUCUUCUUAUAAUUCCAAGACAUCGACUUUGAAUUUUUGAUACAACAAUGACCCAAUCUCACCCAAUCUUAAGAGUACUAUCAUAAUUCAUACAAAAUAGGUCAUAUUUUUCGGUCCUUAAAUAGGUCAUAUUAUAUUUUUCGGUCCUUAAAAAAAAUUGAUAUUUGAUUUUUUAAAAUUAAAUUAACAAGGGUAAAAUUGAGAUAAAAAGUGAUAAACUGUAAGUUAUAAGAUAUUUGAAGCAGCUUAAGAAAAAUGGUAUAAGCUCGAAAAAGAAAGUUAUAACUCGUGAGAAAACUUGUUUGCUAAAAAAAUAAAAAAUAAACUCGUGAGAAAAAAAAUUGUUAACAGACAUGUUUUAUCUUAGUCAUAUGAGAUCAUAAAUUAUAAAUUAUUUGUUAUAAGUGACAUUAACCCAAGAACAAUUUCGUAAUAGUGUAUAUAAAAUAAAAUCAUUAAUUAAUAUGGUAAUUCAGAAUAUUUUGAUUGAUUUUGGAUGUAAAACUGUUUUGGACCGUUAAUCUACCACUAUUAAACUCUUAAUACAUUACCAAUUUUUGUUAAUAUGCAAUUGCAUAAUAAAUUAUUUGUGAUUAAGAUAUCAACUGUUAAUUUCUCAAUUUACUGAUUACACGCUUUAGAAGAAUAAGUAAAUUAGCAUUUUAGUUCUCGGAAUAAUAAAGGACAAAUUAUUUAUUCACUAAAAUUUGUGAAAUAAUAAUUAAUCAAUUAAAUAAAAUAAUACUAUCAAUUAAUUCAGUUCCUCAUAUCUUAUGAAAAAUAAAUCAUCAACAUUUAUAAAAGAUUUGCAUGUUGACUUUUUUAAUUUGUAAAGUUCUAACAUAAAUAACGUGGUAAUUUGAAGUUCGAUAUAAUGUUAAGUGAAGUAUGAUAAAUGAUUGUUUUAAGUCAUGAUUCGAACUCAGUUUUUUUCGAACAAUUUAUCUUAAACAAAAGUUAAGUGAGCACUUCAGCUCAACCGCUCGACUGAAUUAUAUAUUAAUUUAUGUUUUUUAUACAAAAAUAAACGAUAUUCAUUCAUUUAAAUUGAUAUAGUACAUCGAUACAAUACGAAUUUAAAAUUGCUAAAAACAAAAAAGGAUGAAUCUACGAACAAACUCAGAGUAUCCAUGUUAAUAGCAUAAAACGGUAGAGUAUAUAUGCCUACAAAUAUACCUAUCAAGCCACUGAAAUACUCAUGUUUCGGAUCUGCAACGUUGACAAUGCAAAAGUCAUUGAUUGAAUCUGCAUUUGAUCAAAGCUAAUCUUUCAACCUGAAUCAAAUAAAAACCGCAUUAAGACAUGAAUAAAAAACACACCGCACAAAGACGAGAAAUCAAAAUAAAUAAAGUUGUGCUAGAUGACGAAUUCACAAAACCAACAAAAGAAAGGUGAAAAUAUGUGAAAAAUUACUUAUUUAACUAAAAGAGAAAGAGAAACAAUUCAUAGGGGUGAUUUCGUGUCAAAAUUGAUAGUAAGUCACACCUUUUUGGUAGAUGAAGAAGAAAAAAAGUCGUGUGACUAGGGUUUAGGAAAGGAAAAGUGAGAGAAUUUCUACCUUAUAUAAUUGAUUUUUUUAUGUUUUAAAACCAAGACAUUUUCUACACGCGACUACGACAACUAAUCUCUCAAUGUAAACGAAAUUCAUCGUAGAAGUUGUCAUCUCUCAAUAUAUAUUAUCUAUACACAAUGAUCAACAGAUUAAAAUAAUGACCACAUAGCCGAGAGACUCAAAUAAAUAUUCAUCAAUUUUGUUACACCAUAUUGGUAUAUAACUUUCAACUAUGUGGUGUUAAAGUCUGAAAACACGACUAAUUAACUAAUACACUUUAAAGUACUAAAGUAUUACUAUUUAACGAAUUUUAGGACCCACCAUGACACCAUUGCAAUAAUUUCAAUUGGAAAAAUAUUUAGCACCGUUUGGUCAGACUUUUUUCGGUCUAAAAAUUAUUUUAAAACAAAGUUAAAAUAAAACUCUUUAAGGAAAAAGUUAAAGUUGUUUGGUUUCUUUAUUUUUUUUAGUUUUUUUUUGAACAAGCCAAAAUGGAAUUAUAUAAACAAAAAGGCAGUCCCAAACGCACAAGGUGUGCCCUAGCGACUACCUCCAAAACCAAGAGUUACAAGAAUUACAACCAAGCCACAACAGAAAGACAUUAGCCAAUACCCAAACAAACAAGAGGGUUUGACCACCACUGCUGAGUUCCAAAAACAAAGGUAGCUUUUUUAACUUUAAGUCAACCUAAAGACAACAUCUUAAUCUUAUCUAAUAAACAAGGGAUGGGGGUAACAACAUGAUUAAACAGACGGUUAUUUCGUUCAUUCCACACAACCCAGGCACAAAGAAGCCAAAUAAGUUGCAUAAAAGAACGUCUAGCAACACCACCACCUGUCAAAUGAGUAAACUGUAAAAAAUGAUCGGAAAUAUUAUAUGUGUCCACCCCAUAGCAACCAAUCCAAUCACGCACCAGAUGCCACAGAGAGCCAAAAGUAUUACACAAUAAAAAGAGAUGUUGCACCGAUUCAGGAUGACCACAACCAGUAACACACGAGGACAUGUCAUGCGACAACACCCGUCUAGCAAUCAAAUUAGUCCUUGUUGGUAAACGAUCUCGGAUGAGCCUCCACACGAAAACGAACACCUUCAAGGGAACCUGUUUGUGCCACACCAAAUCCAAAGCAUAGUCCGCUACCUGAGGAACCUGAGAAGUCAACAAACUAUAUGCACCAUGAACAGUGUAACCACCAGAUGGGUCCGGAAGCCACACCCAGCUAUCUGAAACAUUAGGAUCCAAAGAAACAUCAAGAAUUAAAGCCCUGCACUCCUCUAGCAAGUCCUCAUCCCACUGCCAUAACCUACGUCUCCACCUCCACACAUCCCCCCACUGCUCCGAAUCAACAGAAAGCAAGUCCGCCACGAAUAUAGACUUAUUCUCUGUUAACUCAAACAACCGACUAAACCUCACACGAAGAGGAGCCUCCCCUAUCCACCUAUCGAACCAAAAUGAUGUAUCUGCCCCAUCACCAACUCUCCUCAACACCUGAUCCUCAAACCAGCCGCUACCACCAACACCAACCCUACCCCUAAGACGACUCACCUCCGACCACCAACAAGAAACUCUCCGGCCCCCAACCUGCCACCUAAUUCGCCAUAUCUGGCAACUAAAACCCUAUACCACAAAUCACCUCUAUCAACCAACAACCUCCAACACCAUUUCCCUAACAAUGCUAUAUUAAACUCCUUCAAUCUCCUCACCCCCAAACCGCCACACUCCUUUUUUAAACAAACAGUUUGCCAACUUAACCAAGAUAUUUUCCUAUUAUCCUCACUCCCCCCACUGCUCCGAAUCAACAGAAAGCAAGUCCGCCACGAAUAUAGACUUAUUCUCUGUUAACUCAAACAACCGACUAAACCUCACACGAAGAGGAGCCUCCCCUAUCCACCUAUCGAACCAAAAUGAUGUAUCUGCCCCAUCACCAACUCUCCUCAACACCUGAUCCUCAAACCAGCCGCUACCACCAACACCAACCCUACCCCUAAGACGACUCACCUCCGACCACCAACAAGAAACUCUCCGGCCCCCAACCUGCCACCUAAUUCGCCAUAUCUGGCAACUAAAACCCUAUACCACAAAUCACCUCUAUCAACCAACAACCUCCAACACCAUUUCCCUAACAAUGCUAUAUUAAACUCCUUCAAUCUCCUCACCCCCAAACCGCCACACUCCUUUUUUAAACAAACAGUUUGCCAACUUAACCAAGAUAUUUUCCUAUUAUCCUCACUCCCCCCCCCCCCCCAAAAAAAAAAAAAAUUAAUAAACAAAGAUUCAAUAGAGGAGAUUAUACCUGAUGGAGCUUUGAAGAAGGAAAGUGCAUAGACAGGCAAAGAGGUCAGGACAGAUUUGAGAAGAACCAAGCGACCACCAAAAGAUAGAAACCGACUAUUCCAACCUGACAGUCUAGAUUUAAUACGAUUCACAAUAGGUUCCCAGAAACACAAUCUUCGAGGAUUACCACCAAUAGGCAUACCCAGAUACAAGAAAGGAACGUUACCUACUUUACAACUCAACACGGAAGCAGCCUCAUGUAACCAAGACGACGCAAUAUUCACCCCAACAAGCAUACUCUUAUGAAAAUUCACUUUCAACCCCGACAUAGCCUCGAACAACACAAGGGCCGCCCUUAAAGCACGAACAUUAGCCCAACUUUUAGUUCCUAACAACAAAGUGUCAUCAGCAAAUUGGAGGUGAGAUACAACAACCGGAUUAACCACCCCAAUGCUAUAGCCAGAGAACAGUUGAGCCUCAACCAAAGAUUUCAUCACAACAUUAAGACCCUCCGCGGCCAACAAAAACAAAAAAGGAGACAAAGGGUCACCUUGUCUUAACCCUCUCAUCAACGGGAAUUCAUCAGUUGGACUUCCAUUAACUAAGACAGACGCUGUGGCAGUGCUAACACACUCUUUGAUCCAAUUCCUCCAACGGGAAUUCAUCAGUUGGAAUUCAUCUUUAAAAGUUGUUUGACAAAAUAUUGUAUACCAAAUUUUGUUAUAAGAAUAUCAUAUUUUUGGUGUCAUUUAAAAAGAUAAGAAUUUAUAUUAUAUGAUAUUAUAUUUGUUACAUUGUUGGUGUCAUUGAAAAAGAUAUGUUUAGUUUUUUAAUAAGAAAAAGAUAUGCAUAGUUUGUUACAACAUAAAUGUGUAAAGUAUAUAUAAGUAUAAUUUUUUAGGUAUCUAUACUAGUACUUUUAAUUAAAAUCAAAAUUUUAUAAAAAUAAUAAUUGUACGCAUUGCGCAACACUGAAAAAAUUAUACCCAUUAGCAUAACAAAAAAAAACAGACAUACAGACAUAAAAUAUUACUCUAAACGCUAAUGUGUGUGUGUAUAUUUGUGAGGUUGAAAAAAGGGAAUAAAAAUAUUUGGUGUCAUUCAAUGACAGCAUGAAUAAAAAUAUUUGUGAGGUUGUGAUAAUUAAACGAUAUUAAAAUUAAAUAUAUAAGUGAUAAAAAGAUAAUAAAACUCCUUCAAAAAUAGAUAAUUAAAUUGAUCCUCCUUUAAAAAAAAAUUAUAUGGACCGGUUCAAAAAAAAUUAAAUUGAAGAAAAAACAAAUUGAAAUAUAAUAUUAAAAAAUAAAAUAUAAGGUUGCUGCGUGAGUUGAAGAGGAGUGCUUGUGAAAUAAAUUACAAAGAAGUAGUUUUUUGAAGUAGCAUUCAACAACUUUUGGUUAAAGCUCAUUCCAUUCAAAUUUUAUGCAUUCUAAAAAAAGUACUUUUUUUCGAAGGUAUUUUAUUGAUAUUGUGUUUGGCGUAGCUUCUCCUUAAAAAUGUAGAAAAGUUGAAGAAAAAAAAAAAGUCGGGUCAAACAGUACUUUAAUAUACUCAAUUAAAGUUACUAAUGUACUGGCAAGUAACUUUUAGAGGAAGAUUUUCUUUUUUUAAGGAUUUUAGAGGAAGCUUAGCAACACACUUUUAAUAUACAUUUUUCUAGAAUUUUUUUUUAUUGAUUAAAAUUCAUAUAUAUCCUCAUAAAUCAUGUGGAUUUCAUAUAAUAUAAUAGAAGACACAAAUUUUAACCGACAAAUAGAGUGUAAAAAAUAGAGAAAUGAUAUUUGUACAACCACUUUGUGAUAAUUUUUGGACAAUUUUCUCUCUCAUACUCAUAUUAUAUUCUUACUCUCUUCUUUUUUCUCUCUCCAUUAUUUUUGACCAAUGAAAAGAGAGAAAAGAAAGAUUGUCAAAUAGGUUGUACCAAAUGGUUGUUCAAAUAGGUUGUACCAAAUGGUUGUUCAAAUAUCAUUUCUUUAAAAAAUAUAAGCAUUAAAGAGUUUGUUGUUAACAUUAUUUUAAUUUUUUUUAUGUAAUCCACACUUUGAGUCAUGGAGUGCUUUACUAAUUCAUUUUGUUUUUCGCAACCCAAUUCAAGAUUGUCUAGAAACAAAGAGGACUGACCUAAUAAAUAAAUAUUAAAAUAAGCUACUUGAGCUAAACAAUGAGAUUUCCAAACAAGGUAGGUCCUACUCAAGUUCUAUAAAUAGCAUCCCUCACCAUGUCAUAAACCGCAUCACAAGUUAUAUACUAGUUGUAUUUUUAUUAUAUACUUCUCCUUUCAUUUUCUUCUUGCAUAUUAAUCUUCUUUAUCUUAAUAUAUAUCAUGGGUGUUUUUACUUUCAAUGAUGAACAUGUCUCAACCGUGGCUCCAGCUAAACUAUACAAAGCUCUUGCAAAAGAUGCUGAUGAAAUCGUCCCAAAGGUGAUUUCUGCUGCCCAAAGUGUUGAAAUUGUUGAAGGAAAUGGAGGACCAGGAACCAUUAAGAAGUUAUCCAUUGUUGAAGGUAAUUAAGAGCAUAUACGACGUACAAAUAUAUAAUACUUAAGAUCAAAUGAUACAUAGUGUUCACGUAAAAUUGUUUUACACCGACAACCAAUCAAAUUUAUCAGUACAACAAAGAAUUGUGUAACUACCUUUUAUUUAAAAAUUGAUAAAUAUGAUGUGACAAAUUGAAGAGUUGUGAUUGAUUAAAUGAUUCACAAAUAACUAAGUUAAAUUCAUUAUACCAAAUAAAAGUAAGUUAAAUUCAUUAUACCCAAAAAAAAAAAGUAAGUUAAAUUCAAGUGUAUCAAAAAAAGUCAUUCAAAUCUAUUUGGAUAGUUAUGGUAGUAGCCAUUUAUGUUAUACUUUUAUUUUUAAAAUAGAAUCUUGAGAAAUGAAGGAGACAAUACAUAAGCUCGUUCCAGGAGUAUGUCUAACAAUUAUGGACCUUCAAAAACAUGAUUCAUGUGAUUAACGAUACUCGGUAAAGUUCAAAUCGAUCUUUAAAUGAAAGAGUUUUUAGUUAAACUUUACUUGUAUCGAAAAAAGAAUUAUAUAAAUAAUUAUAAUGGUUGUAUUGCAGAUGGCAAAACCAACUUUGUGCUACACAAAUUAGAUGCAGUAGAUGAGGCAAACUUUGGAUACAACUAUAGCUUAGUAGGAGGAACAGGAUUGGAUGAAAGUCUAGAGAAAGUUGAAUUCGAGACAAAAAUUGUGGCUGGCUCUGAUGGUGGAUCCAUUGCUAAGAUUACAGUUAAAUAUCACACCAAAGGUGAUGCAACUCUAUCUGAUGCAGUGCGUGAUGAGACUAAGGCCAGAGGAACUGGACUUAUCAAGGCCAUUGAGGGUUACGUUUUGGCAAAUCCUGAUUAUUAAAUGAAUCUACACUUGGUUUAAUUUUGGUUGUAUCGUGUCAUGGGAAUAAUAAUUGAAGUUUAAGAUAUGGUUGUUUAAUUACAU